ACGCUGUCAGCACAACGGCUAGCUGACGUGACAACAUAAACUGUUUUGACUCAAUUUGGUCCCCAAAUUGAGGUUAAAAACCCUAAUCCCCAAUUGACUCUCUUCUCCUCUCUUCUCUAUCGUACCAGAGAUUGAAUGUGCUAUUACUAUAAAACUUUUGUCCAAAGAGUCCAACGAAUGCAGUUCUGAUAUUGCAAAGAAACUUGCAUAUUGCCUUGCAUUGCUUCCGAAAUCAAAAGAAGAUGAAGAAAGCUGGUUUGUGAUGCUGCAGAAGUUCUUGGUUUUGAUAAAUGAUAAAUUAAAUUUUGCCUUUCAAGAGAAUAGAGUCAACUGGGGAUUAGGAUUUUUAACUUCAAUUUAGGGACCAAAUUGAGUCAAAACAGUUUAUGUCGCCACGUCAGCUAGCCGUUGUGCUGACAGCAUGUCACCAACGAGUCCAAGUCAGCUUUUCGGUUGCGCCAGCUGGACGAAAUUGGCCGGAA